UUAAAGGGGUCAACUGACCUUUUUGGUCAUGUUGACUUAUUUGUGGAUCUUACUUUGCUGAACAUUAUUGCUGUUUACAGUUUAUCACUAUCUAUAAUAAUAUUCAAGAUAAUAACCAAAAACUGCAAAAAUUUCCUUCAAAAUUUCCAAUUCAGGGGCAGCAACCCAACAAACAGUUGUCGGAUUCAUCUGAAAAUUUCAGGGCAGAUAGAUCUUGACUUGCAAAACAAUAUAUCCCCCUGUCUGAAUUGCUCUUAAUGCUUUGGUUUCAGAGUUAUAAGCCAAAAUCUACAUUUUAACCCUAUGUUCUAUUCUUAGCCAUGGCGGCUAUCUUGGUUGGUUGGCUGGGUCACUACACACAUUUUUUAAACUAGAUACCUCAAUGAUGAUUAAGGCCAAGUAUGGUUAAAUUUGGAACAG
rnacentral:lncRNA from 1 species